rnacentral:snRNA from 1 species
AGAUGAUUUGUCUAUACAAUCUGUCAUCCCAUUGGUCUCCAGGGUUGACUAAGCUUAUCUGCAAGGCUAGACAGAUGAUCACUUCCUCUCCCAGCACUCCUUGUAUAUCUUUUUGAAGCAGUGUGUUUAGCUGAAGAGAAAAAAACUUCUUCAGUAGAGGAGAAGCAAUUUUUUUGGUCAAGGGUAUACAAAUAGCUGUGUUCCUCUGUUAGAACUGCCAAACAGGAUAUAAGGGUCUAUUUAAAGACCCAUUUAGUCUAGUAAUAUCAUAAUCAUCCUUGGGGGUUCUUG